rnacentral:rRNA from 1 species
CAUCCUCCAAGGCUAAAUACUCCUAACUGACCGAUAGUGAACCAGUACCGUGAGGGAAAGGCGAAAAGAACCCCUGUGAGGGGAGUGAAAUAGAACCUGAAACCGUAUACGUACAAGCAGUGGGAGCCCACUUGUUGGGUGACUGCGUACCUUUUGUAUAAUGGGUCAGCGACUUAUAUUUUGUAGCGAGGUUAACCGCAUAGGGGAGCCGUAGCGAAAGCGAGUCUUAACUGGGCGCUUAGUUGCAAGGUAUAGACCCGAAACC